AACGAACGCUGGCGGCAUGCCUAACACAUGCAAGUCGAACGAGACCUUCGGGUCUAGUGGCGCACGGGUGCGUCACGCGUGGGAACCUGCCCUUAGGUUCGGCCUACCUCCCCGAAAGGGGUGCUAAUACCGGAUCAUGUCUUCGGACCAAAGAUUUAUCGCCUUUGGAUGGGCCCGCGUUGGAUUAGCUCGUUGGUAGGGUAAAAGCCUACCAAGGCGACGAUCCAUAGCUGGUCUGAGAGGAUGAUCAGCCACACUGGGACUGAGACACGGCCCAGACUCCUACGGGAAGCAGCAGUGCGGAAUAUAGGACAGUGGGCGAAAGCCUGAUCCAGCAAUGCCGCGUGAGUGAUGAAGGCCUUAGAGUUGUAAAGCUCUUUUACCCGGGAUGAUAAUGACAGUACCGGGAGAAUAAGCUCCGGCUAACUCCGUG
rnacentral:rRNA from 1 species